GGCCGGCCCUGCGUGGCACGCGCGCCGGCGCGCUCAGGCCGCGUCGAACGGGUUGCUCAGCACGAUCGUGUCGUCCCGCUCGGCGCCGGUCG
rnacentral:tRNA from 1 species